CCUACGGGGGGCAGCAGUGAGGAAUAUUGGUCAAUGGGCGCGAGCCUGAACCAGCCAAGUAGCGUGAAGGAUGACUGCCCUACGGGUUGUAAACUUCUUUUAUAAGGGAAUAAAGUAAGCCACUUGUGCCUUUUUGAUGGUACUUGAUGAAUAAGCAUCGGCUAACUCCGUGCCAGCAGCCGCGGUAAUACGGAGGAUCCGAGCGUUAUCCGGAUUUAUUGGGUUUAAAGGGAGCGUAGAUGGGUUGUUAAGUCAGUUGUGAAAGUUUGCGGCUCAACCGUAAAAUUGCAAUUGAUACUGGCAGUCUUGAGUACAGGUGAGGUAGGCGGAAUGCGUGGUGUAGCGGUGAAAUGCUUAGAUAUCACGAAGAACUCCGAUUGCGAAGGCAGCUUACUAAACUGCCACUGACAUUGAUGCUCGAAAGUGUGGGUAUCAAACAGGAUUAGAUACCCUGGUAGUC
rnacentral:rRNA from 1 species